AUCUGGCAAGAAUUUCUUUCUAAAGUUUAUUAUGUCUAGUAUUAUUGUGGUUCCCUCCAAUUUCUUUUGGAUGUUUGUGGAUAAUGGGAUUUCUUCAUCCAUUCUUUUAACAUAAUCAACUGGAUUCUACAUGAUUGUGACUACAAUGGAAUGACUUAGAAAUCAUGAACUUAAUUCUGAAUUUUACUGCUUUAUAAUAUAUGUGUGAAUAAACAUUACAUGGCAA